rnacentral:rRNA from 1 species
UUAAGCAUAUCACUAAGCGGAGGAAAAGAAACUAACUAGGAUUCCCCUAGUAAUGGCGAAUGAAGCGGGAAGAGCUCAGCACCGAAUCCCGCAGCCUUGCGCUGCAGGGAACUGUGGUGUUUGGGACGUCUAUUGGCGCGAUGUCCGGGUGCCCAGGUCCUCCUGAUCGGGGCCUCUCCCAGAGCGGGUGUCAGGCCUUUACCGGCACCUGGCGCCGUGCCUCAGAGCGUCCUUGGAGUCGGGUUGUUUGAGAAUGCAGCCCAAAGCGGGUGGUAAACUCCAUCUAAGGCUAAAUACCGGCACGAGUCCGAUAGCGGACAAGUACCGUGAGGG